rnacentral:rRNA from 1 species
AUUGAACGCUGGCGGCAGGCCUAACACAUGCAAGUCGAACGGUAGCGCAGAGAGCUUGCUCUCGGGUGACGAGUGGCGGACGGGUGAGUAACGUCUGGGAAACUGCCCGAUGGAGGGGGAUAACUACUGGAAACGGUAGCUAAUACCGCAUAACGUCGCAAGACCAAAGUGGGGGACCUUCGGGCCUCACACCAUCGGAUGUGCCCAGAUGGGAUCAGCUAGUAGGUGGGGUAAUGGCUCACCUAGGCGACGAUCCCUAGCUGGUCUGAGAGGAUGACCAGCCACACUGGAACUGAGACACGGUCCAGACUCCUACGGGAGGCAGCAGUGGGGAAUAUUGCACAAUGGGCGCAAGCCUGAUGCAGCCAUGCCGCGUGUAUGAAGAAGGCCUUCGGGUUGUAAAGUACUUUCAGCGGGGAGGAAGGCGGUGAAGUUAAUAGCUUCACCGAUUGACGUUACCCGCAGAAGAAGCACCGGCUAACUCCGUGCCAGCCGCCGCUGUAA